CAGCCGCCACGGUAAUACGUAGGUGGCAAGCGUUGUCCGGAAUUAUUGGGCGUAAAGGGCUCGCAGGCGGUUUCUUAAGUCUGAUGUGAAAGCCCCCGGCUCAACCGGGGAGGGUCAUUGGAAACUGGGAAACUUGAGUGCAGAAGAGGAGAGUGGAACUCCACGUGUAGCGGUGAAAUGCGUAGAGAUGUGGAGGAACACCAGUGGCGAAGGCGACUCUCUGGUCUGUAACUGACGCUGAGGAGCGAAAGCGUGGGGAGCGAACAGGAUUAGAGACCCCCGUAGUCCCUGUCUCUUAUAC
rnacentral:rRNA from 1 species